GCUUUGUAUCGGAUAGUUGCCCGGACGCUAAUUUUGGCCUUGCUAUUUUACAGACUUGCCAUUUGGCAUAUUUACGAGACCAAAGUUAGCGUUCGGGAGGAAAGUCCGAACACCGGUCUGUUUUUUGACAGAUAUAAAGGUAGCGGGUAACACCCGUCGUCCGCGCAAAAAACAAAAAGUUUGUGUGCGCGGGUAGAGGUGCGAGCAGAGACGACUUUGUUUGAAAAGACAAAGUCACCCUGUCAUUUGACGGGGUGAGCUCAAUGGCAACAUUGAGAAUGAAACGGCAAAAUCCUUACCGCGGUGCAAGUCCGUACUUUCGCUUAAAUAGCGAAAGAGUGACGCUAGAGCCAGACGGCAACGUCCGGCCCAGAUAAAUAGCUAUCGUCCGACAAGUCACUGUUGGAUACAAAAUUCGGCUUAUAGAUACAAAGCAAAA
rnacentral:RNase_P_RNA from 1 species